UUCUAUGGCUUUUAUAGCCAUUUUACAAAGUUUUUUUUAUUUGUUGUCAUUUCUUUACAGGUCGGUGCCAGUGUAGUCGAUGGCCGGUGGUGGCAAAGCAUAGAUGGAUGCUAAAUAUGGCGGCAGCAGAGGAAGAAGACCCUAGGUGCGACGCACCUAGGGUUAGGUUUUUCUCUUUUUUUUUUUUGUUUUUUUGCUGAAGAUGGGUUUGGGCUUUUAGAUUUUGGGCUUAUGGUAGUUGGGUUUGGGUCUGUAAUUGGGUUUUGGGAAUGAUUUAGGUAUUGGGAGUUUGGGCUAGGGGUUUUGUUUUAAUUUGGCCGCAAAACUCAUGCACUCUUUAAUCGAAAAUGAAGCAGCAUCGACAUUACACUUGCUCCACGUUAUUUUUUUUUAAACAAAAUUGUUGUUUAUAUUAAAUCUAAGC
rnacentral:lncRNA from 1 species